CCGCCAGAGAACUACAAGUGAAAAACUUGAAACUCAAAGGACUUGACGGUGUCCCAUAUCAACCUAGAGGAGCCUGUCCUAUAAUCGAUACUCCACGUUUAACCCAACCCCAACUAGCACAACAUCAGCCUAUAUACCGCCGUCGACAGCCUACCCUAUGAAGGUCUAAUAGUAGACUCAAUAGCCCUACCGCUAGCACGUCAGGUCAAGGUGUAGCAAAUGUUGAGGAAGAGAUUGGCUACAUUUUUUACAAUAAAAAAUACGAAAUGUAUUAUGAAAUCAUACAUGAAGGUGAAUUUAGCAGUAAACU
rnacentral:rRNA from 1 species